rnacentral:rRNA from 1 species
UUGAUUACGUCCCUGCCCUUUGUACACACCGCCCGUCGCUGCCCGGGACUGAGCCAUUUCGAGAAAUUUGGGGACCGUUGAUUAAACAUUUAUUUGUUUUUUUGAUGGAAACCAAUUUAAUCGCAGUGGCUUGAACCGGGCAAAAGUCGUAACAAGGUAGCUGUAGGUGAACCUGCUGCUGGAUCAUUACUUUUUAUGUAAUGCUUUACAUUUGAAUUUAUCGCAUCAUUUUAUUUGAUGUGUAACGGCUCUCACUGGUGUCUAGGUGUUGCUGAUUCAGCUGUCUUCGUCCGUGGCUGAAUAUGAGGUGACAUGUUAGGAUUCUAUUGAAUCGUAAGACUUAAUGAGCCUCUUAAGUGAGGACGCCAGCAAUUUUUUUUUUCAAUAAAUUUUUUUUUAAAAGACAUUAAUAAAAAUUAACCUUACCGGUGGAUCACUCGGUUCGUGGAUCGAUGAAGAACGCAGCUAACUGCGAUAAUUUAUGCGAACUGCAGAAACCUUGAGCAUAAAAGUUUUGAACGCAUAUUGCGGCAUUGGGGUCAAACCCUUUGGCACGUCUGGUUCAGGGUCAUUUUCUAACAAAGCGAAAGCUUUUAUUUUUAUAAUGUCAUUCAUUGACUUUAUAAAUGAAAAAUGUUUUAUUGGUUUUUUUACUUGAAUUAAUAUUAACCAAUAAAUAUUAUAUUUAUUUUUGACCUGAACUCAGUCGAGAUCACCCGCUGAACUUAAGCAUAUCAGUAAGCGGAGGAAAAGAAACUAAACAGGAUUCCCUUAGUAACGGCGAGUGAAA